GAAGCCGAUCAAAUGGAAAAAAUCUGGAAGAAACAGAAAAAGAUUUUAGACUGAAGCAGAGGUUCACCUCGCCUUUUGAGGCAUGACUGGUCUGUCACAUGAAAGCCCGACAGAACACUCUGAAGUUUCACUGUGAAUGUUUCAAACACAAGUCAGAAAGUUGUGAAGGAGGAAGAACUCGGAUCAUUCCAGGAACAGAUUGACUCUGAGUUUGCAAAAAAAACCCCGAGAAAUGAGCCGAGAUGGAGAGCGGUAUAGUCCAAGUCAGGAUGAGACAACGAUGCAGUGAGUGUCCAGAUGUGGAUUGACACGGCAGACAUGGCGCCCUGAGGAGGGACAAGCUGCAGAGGGGUGAAAGGUCAGGAUGAUGGAGUCAAACAUCUUCCUGCUCGGUAGGUGAGGUUUGAAUCAAGGGAUGAAUACAAAUACACACCACACUUUUC